rnacentral:rRNA from 1 species
CCUACGGGCGGCAGCAGUGAGGAAUAUUGGUCAAUGGGCGGAAGCCUGAACCAGCCAAGUAGCGUGCAGGAUGACGGCCCUACGGGUUGUAAACUGCUUUUAUACGGGAAUAACGCGCCUUACGUGUAGGGCUUUGCAUGUACCGUAUGAAUAAGGACCGGCUAAUUCCGUGCUAGCAGCCGCGGUAAUACGGAAGGUUCGGGCGUUAUCCGGAUUUAUUGGGUUUAAAGGGGGCGUAGGCCGCAUGUCAAACGUGCUGGUAAAUGUCCGGGCCCAACCCCGGCCUGGCAGGGCAAACUGGCGUGCUUGAGUCGGCGGAAAGCAGGCGGAAUGCGUCGUGUAGCGGUGAAAUGCUUAGAUAUGACGAAGAACCCCGAUUGCGAAGGCAGCUUGCUGCAGCGGAACUGACGCUGAUGCUCGAAAGCGCGGGUAUCGAACAGGAUUAGAUACCCGAGUAGUC